AUACGUAGGGGGCGAGCGUUGUCCGGAAUGAUUGGGCGUAAAGGGCGCGUAGGCGGCGCGGUAAGUCUGGAGUAAAAGUCCUGCUUUCAAGGUGGGAAUUGCUUUGGAUACUGCCGCGCUUGAGUGCAGGAGAGGUUAUCGGAAUUCCCGGUGUAGCGGUGAAAUGCGUAGAGAUCGGGAGGAACCCCAGUGGCGAUGUGGACCUGCUGGGUGUCUAGUGACGCGUAGGCUCGUAAGCAGGGGUAGCAAACAGAAUUAGAUACCCUGGUAGUCCAUGCCGUAAACGAUGAUUGCUAGGUGUGGGUGGGCUGACCCCAGCCGCGCCGGAGUAAACACAAUAAGCAAUCAUGCUGGGGAGUACGGCCUCACGGUUGAGGCUCAAAUGAGUUGACGGGG
rnacentral:rRNA from 1 species